GCAGCAGUAGGAAUCUUCCGCAAUGGACGAAAGUCUGACGAAGCAACGCCGCGUAAGUGAUGAAGGUUUCGGCUCGUAAAGCUCUGUUAUGAGGGAAGAACACGGUACCGUUCGAAUAGGGCGGUACCUUGACGGUACCUCAUCAGAAAGCCACGGCUAACUACGUGCCAGCAGCCGCGGUAAUACGUAGGUGGCAAGCGUUGUCCGGAAUUAUUGGGCGUAAAGCGCGCGCAGGCGGCCUUUUAAGUCUGAUGUGAAAUCUUGCGGCUCAACCGCAAGCGGUCAUUGGAAACUGGGAGGCUUGAGUACAGAAGAGGAGAGUGGAAUUCCACGUGUAGCGGUGAAAUGCGUAGAUAUGUGGAGGAACACCAGUGGCGAAGGCGACUCUCUGGUCUGUAACUGACGCUGAGGCGCGAAAGCGUGGGGAGCAAACAGGAUUAGAUACCCUGGUAGUCCACGCCGUAAACGAUGAGUGCUAGGUGUUAGGGGUUUCGAUGCCCGUAGUGCCGAAGUUAACACAUUAAGCACUCCGCCUGGGGAGUACGGCCGCAAGGCUGAAACUCAAAGGAAUUGACGGGGGCCCGCACAAGCAGUGGAGCAUGUGGUUUAAUUCGAAGCAACGCGAAGAACCUUACCAGGUCUUGACAUCCUUUGACCACUCUGGAGACAGAGCUUCCCCUUCGGGGGCAAAGUGACAGGUGGUGCAUGGUUGUCGUCAGCUCGUGUCGU
rnacentral:rRNA from 2 species